ensembl:lncRNA
AAAUCACUUGGGAGCGAACGCUUCAAGGUACAAUCCCUGAGCUGUGAGCAGAGGGGCCUGGCCAAGAAAAACCCUGUGUCUGUGUUUAUGAAAAGGCAAACAGAUCCCAAAGGGAGGCCCACGUUCUAGCUGGCGUUGGGCACAGGCCCUCCAGGAAAGCACACACAGAUUCGAAGGAGGCCCUGGCACAGCUUCUCCGGGACCCCAGUGAGCCCCGUUUCAGAGCCCUCUUUAGACACACAGAAUACGAGGAGAGGGAAAGGGCAGCGUGGAGCCUUCUCUUCCUUAGUGCCCAGUAAACGCUGUGUCUGCUCACCGCCGCUUCAGUCCAGCCACGUGAAGCACGUGCACGACCUCAGAACUGAUCCAAUCCAAGCUCCUUUGUACCAGUGGGGAAACCAAGGGCCAGAGAAGUCAAGUGACUUGCCCGAAGGCACAGAGCUAAAAACUGAAGUCAGGAGACCGGGUCUCCUCACCCUGAGGUCAGGGUUCUUUCAAGCCAGAUUCUUUCUCAGUUUAGCCUGAGGCUGCCUGCUGCAAGGUACUUCCGUAACACCUGGAUAAAUCCUUCACAUGAUAAGACUUGUUGGACUCCAGAGACCAAGGUGUAUCUGCUUGACCCGGCCCCUCCACCCCUGAACCUGCCAAAACUCAAGGACUCUCUCUGGAUCUGAGAUUUGGAGACUGGGGAAGACGAUAACCAUGUGAAAACCACAAAGGCUCAACCACGUGAGGCUCCAGCCCACCCCGUUUUUCUUUCUCCCAUCAAGGGUCCAUAAAAGCCUGCCCAGCUGCCCAGAGAGGUGACCCCUUCAAGCCUGACCGACCGUGUUGACGUUCUGCCGGCAAUUGUCUGCAGAGGAGCCCUUGUGCCCCUUUUGAAGUUCAGUGGAGUGAAGUGUAAUCUAAGUGAGCUGGAACACGUUUUGAUAAAGCAGCUUCCAUGGCCAGGGGCCUCCUUUUGGCAAAGCCAUUAACAUGGGAAGCUGAGCCGGGGCUGAGCUUUUCGUCUGGGCCCGCCAGCCCGUCCCCUGGCCUUUGAUCACAGGACAUUAAGAUACUUGCGCACAGAGCAGUAGUUCAGUUCUGACCUCCUUGUUUUCCAGAUGGGGAAACUGAGGCCCAGAGAGGAGGAGCGACUUGCCUGAGGUCACACAGCUGGUGAGGGGCAGGGUCAGUGCUGGGACCCUUGUCCACACCAGCCAGGCCUUCCUCGGGCUGUACAAAAUGGUGGGUGGUCAGUGACAAAAAAGAGAAUGCAGAGGACGACGCAAUAGGGAAGAAUCAGGCUCCCUCCCUGGGGAAGGCUGGCAGACCCUGGCAUCUGCACGCCAGCCAGGUGGGCCGAGAUAGGAAGGAAUCACAGCUAAGCCUGGUUAACACCCACAGCCUCAUCAAAGCACGGCUGCAUUGUUGGUCUCAUACGCUCGUCUCGUCAGGGUUGGCGUCUUGCUGACGGGUGAAAGGGACCUGCUCAAGGCCGCACAGGGCAGGCACUGCUGAGGGGACAUAUUGCCCUGGAAAAGGGCUUUAAAGGUCACUUGGAUGAUGAACAGGGGCAGAGCUAGGAGACUCAGAUCUCAUGAGGCGGUUAUGAGGAUGAAAUGGGUGCUUAGAAGAGCACCCGGCCGGUACGCGCUCACCGAGCUCACCACCACCAUCAGGACGUCUGUCACUCCCAUCCACCCUCAGGGCUGAUUCUCCCAGUGGGGUCGGGUCCCUCUUCCCUCACCCGGAGAGAAAAGGAGGGCUCCUGUAGCAAAGGCUGGACUCAUAGCUGGGCUUCUGGCCCAUGC